AUGCAGCCUCAGAACCGCUGAGGGGCUGUUUCUUCACAGCAGGGGACGCUGUGGAGCCACCAUUCAACGCCCGGGCGAUUCCGGAUGCUCAGAGCCUUAUCUUGUAAUUUUCAGGACCCAGAUGGUAUUUCCUGAUUGUCAAGUGCCUGGGAUUCGUCCCAGGAGCCGACUUCCGAUAGGCUGCCAGCAGGCCGGGACUGCAGUUGUCCGCUAUUUCCAGCUGCGUCAGUGAUUUUCUGCCUUCGCCCUUUUGUUUUGCGGCCAGAAUCAGGCUCUGCCAGGAAGCCUGCGGAAUUCUACCCGAACCACGGACCACGAUCGGGCUGGCGUGAGCAAAACGCUGGAAAAAACGGCUGACGCCCCGCUGCGAGUGUGCUCCAGGACGCCGCGGUUUCGGUUCCUUUUCCGGUCCUAUACUCUCAGCUCGCGGUCCUUUCUAAACGCUGAAAAUUCUUCCGAUUUCUUUCGCUAGCGGAUUGUGUGCCCCCUGCAGUCAGCAAACUCAUUUUCCCCCCCACCUAGUAGGCCUGACUCCCCGAGUGCCCUCUAGAAGAGACAGGAGAACCCGGAGACUCCGGGAACUCGGGAGGACCCUGCAGAAUAUCGAUCGGGUCACCGUGGAGAUGAAGCGCGGUCCCUGUUCCAGAGAGCCCACCCCGGCGACCAGCUACGCCAUACCCAGACCGGAGCACCGGGGAGUGCCGGUCGCCUGUCAAACGGGUUUGGGAGAGAAGACUCGGGGUUUUGCUCGGCCUCCUGAAGCGCAUUCCUCUCCGGAGAAACCGUUGAAAGCAACACAACUGAAGUGAGCAGUGAGCAGUGCUGCUGGUUCUUCAGUACAGCCAUGACGGCCUGAAGUUCACUUUUCAAAUACUCUAAAAUUACACACGGAACGCGCUCUGGAGUCUGAAUGUGACCAUUGGCUGGGACUGAAUCUUUUGCCAUUAUCAUAAUGCAAAGGAAAUUUAACAUGCACGGAACCAGUAACAGUGAUCACCUGGACCCCAGCUGGGGUUUCAUCUUUGGAGAGUUGCAGAGAAGAUCCAGGCUCCCCAGAUGUGGUGGUCUGCCCACUGCAUCCACCAACUUGAGCAUUCUGAUUUCAAUUGAUAGAGCCUUGGCAAGGAAGUUUUGUCACUUAUAAAUUUAUAAAU